rnacentral:rRNA from 1 species
AUUGAACGCUAGCGGGAUGCUUAACACAUGCAAGUCGAACGAGUGGCGUGCGGGUGGGUUAUAUAUCUGCACGGGCCCAGUAGCGGGCGAUAACUACUCGACACAGUUGCUACUACCGCAUACUAUUGCAUCGGCCGAUAUAGGAUUAGCUAGUUGGAGGGGUAAAGGCUCACCAAGGCAACGAUCCGUAGCUGGUUUGAGCGGACGACCAGUCACACUUGGACUGAGACACGGCCCAGACUCCUACGGGAGGCAGCAGUGGGGAAUUUUGGACAAUGGGGGAAAGCCUGAUCCAGCCAUCCCGCGUGUAUGAGACGGUCUUCGGGUUGUAAAGUACUGUUGGUAGAGAAGCGUUACCUGCAGAAUAAGCACCGGCUAACUACGUGCCAGCCGCCGCGGUAAUUC